GGAGGCUUAUUUGCGAACGUUCAGGAAGAGCGCCUGCCAGCCCAGAGAGGGGCUGGUCAACGUCCACAAAGAGCACCCCCAGGGCACAGCCCUCCUGUGUGGUUCUGCAACGAUGCGCCGGCUGCUGCAGUGACGAGGCCGUGCAGUGUUCCGCUGUGCAGAAGCGCACCAUCAGUCUGCAGAUCAUGCGGGUGAGCUCCAGCACACAGACCUCGCAGCUG